CCUACGGGCGGCAGCAGUGAGGAAUAUUGGUCAAUGGGAGAGAUCCUGAACCAGCCAAGCCGCGUGAGGGAAGACGGCCCUAUGGGUUGUAAACCUCUUUUGUCGGAGAACAAAACCCGGGACGUGUCCCGGCCUUCGUGUAUCCGAAGAAAAAGCAUAGGCUAACUCCGUGCCAGCAGCCGCGGUAAUACGGAGGAUGCGAGCGUUGUCCGGAUUUGUUGGGGUAAACGGGUGCGUAGGCGGUCCGUUAAGUCAGCGGUAAAAUUGAGGGGCUCAACCCCGUAGUGCCGUUGAAACUGGCAGACUUGAGUUGGCGAGAAGUACGCGGAACGCGCGGUGUAGCGGUGAAAUGCAUAGAUAGCGCGCAGAACUCCGAUUGCGAAGGCAGCGUACCGGCGCCAGACUGACGCUGAGGCACGAAAGCGUGGGGAUCGAACAGGAUUAGAUACCCCAGUAGUC
rnacentral:rRNA from 1 species